AUUGAACGCUAGCGGGAUGCUUUACACAUGCAAAUCGAACGGAGUGGCGGACGGGUGAGUAAUCUAUCGGAACGUGCCCAGUAACGGGGGAUAACUACUCGAAAGAGUGGCUAAUACCGCAUACCAUUGGCGCGGCCGAUAUCGGAUUAGCUAGUUGGUGGGGUAACGGCUCACCAAGGCAACGAUCCGUAGCUGGUUUGAGAGGACGACCGGCAGCACUGGGAGUGAGAAACGGCCCAGACUCCUACUGGUGGCAGAAGUGGCGAAUUUUGGACGAUGGGGGAAACCCGGAACCAUCCAUGCCGCGUGUAUGAUGAAUGCCUUCGGGAUGGAAAGUACUUUUGGCAGAGAAGCGGUAUCUGCAGAAUAAGCGCCGGCUAACUACGUGCCAGCAGCCGCGGUAAUUC
rnacentral:rRNA from 1 species